rnacentral:rRNA from 1 species
GGACAACCUGCCCUAAGGUGAGGGAUAACUCCGGGAAACUGGAGAUAAUACCUCAUAGUUUACCAUCGCUGGAAUGCCUGGUAAGCGAAAGGUCCGCCGCCUUAGGAUGGGUCUGCGGCCGAUUAGGUAGUUGUUGGGGUAACGGCCCAACAAGCCUGUAAUCGGUACGGGUUGUGGGAGCAAGAGCCCGGAGAUGGAUUCUGAGACACGAAUCCAGGCCCUACGGGGCGCAGCAGGCGCGAAAACUUUACAAUGCAGGCAACUGUGAUAAGGGAACCCCGAGUGCCCGUAUGGACGGGCUGUUCAGGUGCUUAAAAACCACCUGGAGAAAGGGCCGGGCAAGACCGGUGCCAGCCGCCGCGGUAAUACCGGCGGCUCGAGUGGUGGCCACUAUUACUGGGCUUAAAGCGUCCGUAGCUUGGUCGUUAAGCCUCUGGGGAAAUCUUCCGGCUUAACCGGAAGGCGUCUCAGGGGAACUGGCGACCUAGGGAUCGGGAGAGGUGAGAGGUACUCUGGGGGUAGGAGUGAAAUCCUGUAAUCCUCAGGGGACCACCUGUGGCGAAGGCGUCUCACCAGAACGACUCCGACAGUGAGGGACGAAAGCUGGGGGAGCAAACCGGAUUAGAUACCCGGGUAGUCCCAGCCGUAAACGAUGCGCGUUAGGUGUAUCGGUGACCACGAGUUACCGAGGUGCCGAAGGGAAACCGUGAAACGCGCCGCCUGGGAAGUACGGUCGCAAGGCUGAAACUUAA